CCUGGUUGAUCUUGCCAGUAGUCAUAUGCUUGUCUCACAGAUUAAGCCAUGCAAGUGAAAGUACAUAUGUAAAUAAUAUAUUGAAACUGCGAACGGCUCAUUAAAACAGUUAUAAUCUACUUGAUGUUUUUAAUAUAAGGAUAACUACGGAAAAUCUGUAGCUAAUACUUGUGAAAAUACCUUUUGAUAUAUACAUAUGUAUGUAUCAUUAAGGUAUGUAUUUGUUAGAUAUAAGAAUAAAAUAAAUAUAAUUGAAUUAUAACAAAGAAGAAACACAUAAAAUAUGUGUAUUAUCAAUCGAGUAUCUGACCUAUCAGCUUUUGAUGUUAGGGUAUUGACCUAACAUGGCUAUGACGGGUAACGGGGAAUUAGAGUUCGAUUCCGGAGAGGGAGCCUGAGAAAUAGCUACCACAUCUAAGGAAGGCAGCAGGCGCGUAAAUUACCCAAUUCUAAAAAAGAGAGGUAGUGACAAGAAAUAACAAUACAAUAUCGAAAAAUGAUUUUGUAAUUGGAAUGAUAGGAAUUUACAAGGUUCCUAGAGAAACAAUUGGAGGGCAAGUCUGGUGCCAGCAGCCGCGGUAAUUCCAGCUCCAAUAGCAUAUAUUAAAAUUGUUGCAGUUAAAACGUUCGUAGUUGAAUAUUAAAGAAUCCGAUGUUUCAUUUAAACUGGUUUGGGAAAACCAAAUAUAUUAUAUAUUUUGCUUUGUUCAAAAUAAGGUUUUCUAAUAAAUUAUGUUUUUAUCAGAUAUGACAGAAUCUUUUUUAAAAUCUCUUCAAUAUGCUUUUAUUGCUUUUGAGAGGUUUUGUUACUUUGAGUAAAAUUAAGUGUUCAUAACAGACGGGUAGUCAUGAUUGAGUUCAUUGUGUUUGAAUACUACAGCAUGGAAUAACAAAUAUGAAUAAGCUAAUUAUUUUUUUUUUUCAUUAUUUUUUUUGAUAUUCUUAUUAGCUUAGUUACGAUUAAUAGGAGUAGCUUUGGGGGCAUUCGUAUUCAGAUGUCAGAGGUGAAAUUCUAAGAUUUUCUGGAGACGGACUACUGCGAAAGCAUUUGCCUAAUCUAUUUCCAUUAAUCAAGAACGAAAGUUAAGGGAGUGAAGACGAUCAGAUACCGUCGUAAUCUUAACCAUAAACUAUACCGACUAGGUGUUGGAUGAAUAUAAAAAAUAUAUAAAUAUGUAGCAUUUCUUAGGGAAUGUUGAUUUUAUAUUAGAAUUGCUUCCUUCAGUACCUUAUGAGAAAUCAAAGUCUUUGGGUUCUGGGGCGAGUAUUCGCGCAAGCGAGAAAGUUAAAAGAAUUGACGGAAGGGCACCACCAGGCGUGGAGCUUGCGGCUUAAUUUGACUCAACACGGGAAAACUCACUAGUUUAAGACAAGAGUAGGAUUGACAGAUUAAUAGCUCUUUCUUGAUUUCUUGGAUGGUGAUGCAUGGCCGUUUUUAGUUCGUGAAUAUGAUUUGUCUGGUUAAUUCCGAUAACGAACGAGAUCUUAACCUGCUAAUUAGCGGUAAGUACACUAUAUUUUUAUUUGAAAUUGAAUAUAGGUAACUAUACAUGUUUAUUCAGUGUUCAAAUUAGGAUAUUUUUAUUAAAAUAUCCUUUUCCCUGUUCUACUAAUAAUUUGUUUUUUUUUACUCUAUUUCUCUCUUCUUUUAAGAAUGUACUUGUUUGAUUAAAUAAAGCUUCUUAGAGGAACAGUGUGUAUCUAACACAAGGAAGUUUAAGG
rnacentral:rRNA from 1 species